GAGAGUAUAGCUCAAGUGGUAGAGUACAUGUUUAGUAUGCAUGAGACCCUGGGUUCAAUCCCUAGUACCCUCC
rnacentral:tRNA from 1 species